UACGUAGGGGGCAAGCGUUGUCCGGAAUCAUUGGGCGUAAAGGGCGUGUAGGCGGCUCGAUAAGUCUGUUGUGAAAGCCCAGGGCUCAACCCUGGAAGGCCGGUGGAAACUGUCGGGCUAGAGUCCGGAAGAGGCGAGUGGAAUUCCCGGUGUAGCGGUGAAAUGCGCAGAUAUCGGGAGGAACACCAAUGGCGAAGGCAGCUCGCUGGACCGUUACUGACGCUGAGGAACGAAAGCUAGGGGAGCAAACGGG
rnacentral:rRNA from 1 species